UACAGAGGUCUCAAGCGUUGUUCGGAUUCAUUGGGCGUAAAGGGUGCGUAGGCGGCGCGGUAAGUCGGGUGUGAAAUCUCGGAGCUUAACUCCGAAACUGCAUUCGAUACUGCCGUGCUUGAGGACUGGAGAGGAGACUGGAAUUUACGGUGUAGCGGUGAAAUGCGUAGAUAUCGUAAGGAAGACCAGUGGCGAAGGCGGUAUCUGGACAGUUCUCUGAGACUG
rnacentral:rRNA from 1 species